rnacentral:tRNA from 1 species
GCCUCCUUAGCUCAGAUGGCCAGAGCAGCUGUCUUGUAAACAGCAGGUCGUCGGUUCGAAUCCGACAGGGGGCUCCG